rnacentral:rRNA from 1 species
AAGUUAGCCCUUGGGAGUGUGGCGAUAGGCGUCCUAAGAAAAACUGAUAAACUUAUAAGAUAUUAUGUGCGAAGAUGGCUAAAUCUUCCGCUGGAUGUGCCGAUAGCAUUUGUUCAUGCACCCCCAAAAAGUGGAGGUCUCGGAAUUCCAUCACUAAGAUGGGUAGCUCCAAUGUUAAGGCUAAGACGCUUGAGUAACAUUAAAUGGCCUCACCUCACGCAAAACGAGGUAGCCAGCUCUUUCCUCAAAGCCGAAAAACAACGGGCCCGAGAUAGAUUAUUAGCUGAACAAAAUGAACUGUUAUCGCGUCCGGCAAUAGAAAAAUAUUGGGCGAACAAGUUGUACCUCUCAGUUGAUGGUAGCGGACUCCGUGAAGCGGGCCAUAAUGGCCCGCAACACGGGUGGGUUAGUCAACCCACGCGUUUAUUAACAGGAAAGGAAUAUAUAGACGGUAUUCGUCUGCGGAUAAAUGCCCUACCCACAAAGUCUCGUACUACAAGGGGAAGGCACGAAUUGGAACGACAGUGUCGUGCAGGAUGUGAUGCUCCCGAAACAACAAACCACAUAAUGCAAAAAUGCUACCGCUCGCAUGGGAGGCGGGUAGCUAGACACAACUGCGUAGUAAAUCGAAUCAAGCGGCGACUUGAGGAGAGAGGCUGCGUGGUCAUUGUUGAACCAAGUCUGCAGUGCGAAUCCGGCCUUAAUAAACCAGACCUGGUGGCACUACGACAAAAUCACAUUGAUGUGAUCGACAUACAAAUUGUGACAGACGGACACUCUAUGGAUGAUGCGCACCAGCGCAAAAUCAAUAGAUACGACAGACCGGACAUACGAACUGAAUUGCGUCGCAGAUUCGAAGCCGCAGGUGACAUUGAAUUCCAUUCUGCCACCCUGAACUGGAGGGGGAUCUGGAGUGGUCAAUCCGUUAAAAGAUUGAUAGCAAAGGGUCUCCUCAGCAAAUAUGAUAGUCAUAUCAUUAGCGUCCAGGUUAUGAGAGGCAGUCUCGGUUGUUUUAAACAGUUCAUGUACCUGAGCGGGUUUUCCCGAGAUUGGACUUAGCUAAAUCGUUUGGUUCAAAACAUUUGCUUGCUGUCUUGGCAUAACAUCAAUAAAGGCAUAAACAUCGCAAAAUAAUGGUUAUAAUUAAAUGGCUAUGAGGAUGGUUUUAGUACGUAGGCGUUGCGGAACUUCGGUUCAUAUAGAGCAAUGAAUCGUGCAUGCUAGGAAAACUGACCACACACAGUGUUGGCAGACCUAGUAUCUUUCGAAGAUUUCCAUACCUCCGCGAUCAAAAAAAAAAAAAAAAAAAAAAAAUAGCCAAAUGCCUCGUCAUCUAAUUAGUGACGCGCAUGAAUGGAUUAACGAGAUUCCUACUGUCCCUAUCUACUAUCUAGCGAAACCACAGCCAAGGGAACGGGCUUGGAAUAAUUAGCGGGGAAAGAAGACCCUUUUGAGCUUGACUCUAAUCUGGCAGUGUAAGGAGACAUAAGAGGUGUAGAAUAAGUGGGAGAUAUUAGACCUCGGUUUGGUAUCGUCAAUGAAAUACCACUACUCUUAUUGUUUCCUUACUUACUUGAUUAAAUGGAACGUGUAUCAUUUCCUAGCCAUUAUACGGAUAUAUUUAUUAUAUCUUAUGGUAUUGGGUUUUGAUGCAAGCUUCUUGAUCAAAGUAUCACGAGUUUGUUAUAUAAUCGCAAACAAAUUCUUUUAUUAAAUGAUGCAUUUAUGUAUUUUUGAUUUGAAAAUUUGGUAUAACUCCAAUUACUCAGGUAUGAUCCAAUUCAAGGACAUUGCCAGGUAGGGAGUUUGACUGGGGCGGUACAUCUCUCAAAUAAUAACGGAGGUGUCCCAAGGCCAGCUCAGUGCGGACAGAAACCACACAUAGAGCAAAAGGGCAAAUGCUGACUUGAUCUCGGUGUUCAGUACACACAGGGACAGCAAAAGCUCGGCCUAUCGAUCCUUUUGGUUUAAAGAGUUUUUAACAAGAGGUGUCAGAAAAGUUACCAUAGGGAUAACUGGCUUGUGGCGGCCAAGCGUUCAUAGCGACGUCGCUUUUUUGAUCCUUCGAUGUCGGCUCUUCCUAUCAUUGUGAAGCAAAAUUCACCAAGCGUUGGAUUGUUCACCCAUGCAAGGGAACGUGAGCUGGGUUUAGACCGUCGUGAGACAGGUUAGUUUUACCCUACUAAUGACAAAACGUUGUUGCGACAGCAUUCCUGCGUAGUACGAGAGGAACCGCAGGUACGGACCAAUGGCACAAUACUUGUUCGAGCGAACAGUGGUAUGACGCUACGUCCGUUGGAUUAUGCCUGAACGCCUCUAAGGUCGUAUCCGUGCUGGACUGCAAUGAUAAAUAAGGGGCAAUUUGCAUUGUAUGGCUUCUAAACCAUUUAAAGUUUAUAAUUUACUUUAUAACGACAAUGGAUGUGAUGCCAAUGUAAUUUGU